rnacentral:misc_RNA from 1 species
GAUGAAGAACGUAGCGAAAUGCGAUAAGUAAUGUGAAUUGCAGAAUUCAGUGAAUCAUCGAAUCUUUGAACGCACAUUGCGCCCGCCAGUAUUCUGGCGGGCAUGCCUGUUCGAGCGUCAUUUCAACCAUCAAGCCCCCGGGCUUGUGUUGGGGACCUGCGGCUGCCGCAGGCCCUGAAAACCAGUGGCGGGCUCGCUAGUCACUCCGAGCGUAGUAGUUCAUCUCGCUCAGGGCGUGCUGCGGGUUCCGGCCGUUAAAAGCCUUUUACCCCAAGGUUGACCUCGGAUCAGGUAGGAAGACCCGCUGAACUUAAGCAUAUCAAUAAGCGGAGGA